rnacentral:rRNA from 1 species
UAACCUGCCCAAGAGAUCGGGAUAACACCUGGAAACAGAUGCUAAUACCGGAUAAUAACAGAUGAUGCCUAUCAACUGUUUAAAAGAUGGUUCUGCUAUCACUCUUGGAUGGACCUGCGGUGCAUUAGCUAGUUGGUAGGGUAACGGCCUACCAAGGCGACGAUGCAUAGCCGAGUUGAGAGGCUGAUCGGCCACAUUGGGACUGAGACACGGCCCAAACUCCUACGGGAGGCAGCAGAU